AUUGAACGCUGGCGGCAGGCCUAACACAUGCAAGUCGAACGGUAACAGGAAGCAGCUUGCUGCUUCGCUGACGAGUGGCGGACGGGUGAGUAAUGUCUGGGAAACUGCCUGAUGGAGGGGGAUAACUACUGGAAACGGUACCUAAUACCGCAUAACGUCGCAAGCCCAAAGAGGGGGACCUUAGGGCCUCUUGCCAUCGGAUGUGCCCAGAUGGGAUUAGCUAGUAGGUGGGGUAACGGCUCACCUAGGCGACGAUCCCUAGCUGGUCUGAGAGGAUGACCAGCCACACUGGAACUGAGACACGGUCCAGACUCCUACGGGAGGCAGCAGUGGGGAAUAUUGCACAAUGGGCGCAAGCCUGAUGCAGCCAUGCCGCGUGUAUGAAGAAGGCCUUCGGGUUGUAAAGUACUUUCAGCGGGGAGGAAGGGAGUAAAGUUAAUACCUGUGCUCAUUGACGUUACCCGCAGAAGAAGCACCGGCUAACUCCGUG
rnacentral:rRNA from 1 species